UAAAAAGACCAGACAGUCUGAACUCGGAUCCUCCCAGCCCACCUCAGAAUCAGUUAGGGCAACCUAUGGCUCCCCCAACUCAAAAUCAGUAUGGUCAACCUAUGGCUCCUGCACCUCAGUAUCAGUACGGUCAACCUAUGGCUCCACCGACUCAAAAUCAGUAUGGUCAACCUCUGGCUCCUCCGACUCAAAAUCAAUACGAUCAACCUCUGGCUCCUCCGACUCAAAAUCAAUAUGGUCAACCUAUGGCUCCACCAACUCCGCCCCCACCCGGACCAAACGAGGAUUCAAUGACUCCCCCACCUCAGAAUCAGAAUGGGGAUGGGCAGUUCAUGCCUCCUCCCACUUUGGACCAAGAUCCAAACGACCAG
rnacentral:lncRNA from 1 species